AACCAGGUGCUCCGCAGGGCGCAGCUUUAUACGACUGCAGAGGUCGAACCCUGAACAGUUGGGGCAAGUAUGGACAAAACAUUCAAGCGUGAUACAGCUCUGAAUUUGGAUUGUGAUCAAAUUUUUGACAUUACAUGGGUUUUUUUUUUAAACAAAACAAAUGUCAAGAUUUUACAAAUCAAUUAAAGAUUUCUUCUUCAAACUUUUUAAAUCUAAAAUUAAAUAGUUGACACAGCAUAGGUUUCUGACACAGAAUGAAUGUGGUCUAAUGAACUUAAAAGUUUUUUUUUGCCUUUGAGCAAU
rnacentral:lncRNA from 1 species